rnacentral:rRNA from 1 species
GGUUAAGCGACUAAGCGUACACGGUGGAUGCCCUGGCAGUCAGAGGCGAUGAAGGACGUGCUAAUCUGCGAAAAGCGUCGGUAAGGUGAUAUGAACCGUUAUAGCCGGCGAUGUCCGAAUGGGGAAACCCAGUGCAAUUCGUUGCACUAUCGUUAACUGAAUACAUAGGUUAACGAGGCGAACCGGGGGAACUGAAACAUCUAAGUACCCCGAGGAAAAGAAAUCAACCGAGAUUCCCCCAGUAGCGGCGAGCGAACGGGGAGCAGCCCAGAGUCUGAAUCAGCUUGUGUGUUAGUGGAACGGUCUGGAAAGUCCGACGGUACAGGGUGAUAGUCCCGUACACCAAAAUGCACAGGUUGUGAACUCGAAGAGUAGGGCGGGACACGUGGUAUCCUGUCUGAAUAUGGGGGGACCAUCCUCCAAGGCUAAAUACUCCUGACUGACCGAUAGUGAACCAGUACCGUGAGGGAAAGGCGAAAAGAACCCCGGCGAGGGGAGUGAAAAAGAACCUGAAACCGUGUACGUACAAGCAGUGGGAGCACCUUCGGGUGUGACUGCGUACCUUUUGUAUAAUGGGUCAGCGACUUAUAUUCUGUAGCAAGGUUAACCGUAUAGGGGAGCCGCAGGGAAACCGAGUCUUAACUGGGCGUUAAGUUGCAGGGUAUAGACCCGAAACCCGGUGAUCUAGCCAUGGGCAGGUUGAAGGUUGGGUAACACUAACUGGAGGACCGAACCGACUAAUGUUGAAAAAUUAGCGGAUGACUUGUGGCUGGGGGUGAAAGGCCAAUCAAACCGGGAGAUAGCUGGUUCUCCCCGAAAGCUAUUUAGGUAGCGCCUCGUGAAUUCAUCUUCGGGGGUAGAGCACUGUUUCGGCUAGGGGUCAUCCCGACUUACCAACCCGAUGCAAACUACGAAUACCGAAGAAUGUUAUCACGGGAGACACACGGCGGGUGCUAACGUCCGUCGUGAAGAGGGAAACAACCCAGACCGCCAGCUAAGGUCCCAAAGUCAUGGUUAAGUGGGAAACGAUGUGGGAAGGCACAGACAGCCAGGAUGUUGGCUUAGAAGCAGCCAUCAUUUAAAGAAAGCGUAAUAGCUCACUGGUCGAGUCGGCCUGCGCGGAAGAUGUAACGGGGCUAAACCAUGCACCGAAGCUGCGGCAGCGACACUAUGUGUUGUUGGGUAGGGGAGCGUUCUGUAAGCCUGCGAAGGUGUGCUGUGAGGCAUGCUGGAGGUAUCAGAAGUGCGAAUGCUGACAUAAGUAACGAUAAAGCGGGUGAAAAGCCCGCUCGCCGGAAGACCAAGGGUUCCUGUCCAACGUUAAUCGGGGCAGGGUGAGUCGACCCCUAAGGCGAGGCCGAAAGGCGUAGUCGAUGGGAAACAGGUUAAUAUUCCUGUACUUGGUGUUACUGCGAAGGGGGACGGAGAAGGCUAUGUUAGCCGGGCGACGGUUGUCCCGGUUUAAGCAUGUAGGCUGGUUGUCCAGGCAAAUCCGGAUAAUCAAGGCUGAGGUGUGAUGACGAGGCACUACGGUGCUGAAGUAACAAAUGCCCUGCUUCCAGGAAAAGCCUCUAAGCAUCAGGUAACAUUAAAUCGUACCCCAAACCGACACAGGUGGUCAGGUAGAGAAUACCAAGGCGCUUGAGAGAACUCGGGUGAAGGAACUAGGCAAAAUGGUGCCGUAACUUCGGGAGAAGGCACGCUGGUGUGUAGGUGAAGUCCCUGCGGAUGGAGCUGAGACCAGUCGAAGAUACCAGCUGGCUGCAACUGUUUAUUAAAAACACAGCACUGUGCAAACACGAAAGUGGACGUAUACGGUGUGACGCCUGCCCGGUGCCGGAAGGUUAAUUGAUGGGGUUAUCCGUAAGGAGAAGCUCUUGAUCGAAGCCCCGGUAAACGGCGGCCGUAACUAUAACGGUCCUAAGGUAGCGAAAUUCCUUGUCGGGUAAGUUCCGACCUGCACGAAUGGCGUAAUGAUGGCCAGGCUGUCUCCACCCGAGACUCAGUGAAAUUGAACUCGCUGUGAAGAUGCAGUGUACCCGCGGCAAGACGGAAAGACCCCGUGAACCUUUACUAUAGCUUGACACUGAACAUUGAGCCUUGAUGUGUAGGAUAGGUGGGAGGCUUUGAAGCGUGGACGCCAGUCUGCGUGGAGCCAACCUUGAAAUACCACCCUUUAAUGUUUGAUGUUCUAACGUUGGCCCCUUACCGGGGUUGCGGACAGUGUCUGGUGGGUAGUUUGACUGGGGCGGUCUCCUCCCAAAGCGUAACGGAGGAGCACGAAGGUUAGCUAAUCCUGGUCGGACAUCAGGAGGUUAGUGCAAUGGCAUAAGCUAGCUUGACUGCGAGCGUGACGGCGCGAGCAGGUGCGAAAGCAGGUCAUAGUGAUCCGGUGGUUCUGAAUGGAAGGGCCAUCGCUCAACGGAUAAAAGGUACUCCGGGGAUAACAGGCUGAUACCGCCCAAGAGUUCAUAUCGACGGCGGUGUUUGGCACCUCGAUGUCGGCUCAUCACAUCCUGGGGCUGAAGUAGGUCCCAAGGGUAUGGCUGUUCGCCAUUUAAAGUGGUACGCGAGCUGGGUUUAGAACGUCGUGAGACAGUUCGGUCCCUAUCUGCCGUGGGCGCUGGAGAAUUGAGGGGGCUGCUCCUAGUACGAGAGGACCGGAGUGGACGCAUCACUGGUGUUCGGGUUGUCAUGCCAAUGGCACUGCCCGGUAGCUAAAUGCGGAAGAGAUAAGUGCUGAAAGCAUCUAAGCACGAAACUUGCCCCGAGAUGAGUUCUCCCUGAGACUUUAAGUCUCCUGAAGGAACGUUGAAGACGACGACGUUGAUAGGCCGGGUGUGUAAGCGCAGCGAUGCGUUGAGCUAACCGGUACUAAUGAACCGUGAGGCUUAACCUU